rnacentral:lncRNA from 1 species
UUACCUAGUGAGGAAAUGCUUACAGUGUAAUCAAGUGAAAAAAAGGGGGAAGAAAACCAUUUUUUAUAUACAUAUAUUCCAAUUCCAAUUUAGAGAGAAGGAAAACGCAGCACAGACAAGUCCCUAUAUACACACGUCUAUAUCGAUGACCGAAAAUACUGGGAGGAAAUCCACCCAAGAGGGACAAGACUGCCCUCCCUACGACUGAGCCUUGUCUAUCUGGCGUCUCCAGUGCCCAUCUUCACAGCUAACACUGGGCAGGGGCUGAUGGAAUAACUGAAUGUGAACGUUCUUCCUGUGGCUCUGGAUCGGUGUGGGGUGCCACUGGAGCCCCCAUCUCCCCACCUCCCCUGCGGGGUCCCCAUGGUCGCCUCACCCAGCAGCUCGAUGGCCUUAGUGGUCCCAUACACGUCCAUCACGG